rnacentral:misc_RNA from 1 species
CGUCAAGCCAUGGAAGUCGGGAGUACCUGAAGUACGUCACCGCGAGGAUCGUACUAGGGUAAUACCGGUAACUGGGGCUAAGUCGUAACAAGGUAGCCGUACCGGAAGGUGCGGCUGGAACACCUCCUUUCUGGAGCGAAGUAUUCGUGUCUGUUGUUUAUAUAAAGGACAGACAACUAUUACUUGGGUAUGAAGGGUAAUGUACCCUGUCUGCUUGUUGAGAAUGUAUUCAAUAGUAUAAUAUAUCAUUCGAUCCGUAUGAGAGGGGUCGAAAUGAGUGGCGUGAGUCUGUACGGAGUACGAUCUGCUAUCCAGUCCUAUAGCUCAGUUGGUUAGAGCGCUACACUGAUAAUGUAGAGGUCGGCAGUUCAAAUCUGCCUGGGACUACGAAAGGACUUCAACCGGUGGGAUUGGAGGGACAACAACAAGGCAACAAACUCUUAGGGGGGAUUAGCUCAGCUGGCUAGAGCACCUGCCUUGCACGCAGGGGGUCGACGGUUCGAAUCCGUCAUUCUCCACAAAACAAAGAGAUCAUAGACAUAUCGGAAGAGAAGAAUAUAGUAGCAUUGUCCUGUAUGGAAAUACGGGAUGGUAUAAAACUACAAUAACCGUAUCAUGCCGUUAACGGUAUGAUAUGCGAGAGCAAAAAAAUAUAAGCAAAAGAAGGGCAGACGGUGGAUGCCUAGGCUCUAAGAGGCGACGAAGG